rnacentral:rRNA from 1 species
GAUCAUGGCUCAGGAUGAACGCUGGCGGCGUGCCUAACACAUGCAAGUCGAGCGAAGCACUUUGCUUAGAUUCUUCGGAUGAAGAGGAUUGUGACUGAGCGGCGGACGGGUGAGUAACGCGUGGGUAACCUGCCUCAUACAGGGGGAUAACAGUUAGAAAUGACUGCUAAUACCGCAUAAGACCACAGCACCGCAUGGUGCGGGGGUAAAAACGUACCGUCGGU